CAAUAAAAGGUGCAAUCAGCAGGUGUAUCCAUAUAUGGCAUUAAUGACGAGAACCGAGGCUACUAGCGCGUGAGGAAUCGCCGCGCGUGACAUCAGCGAGCUAGAAGAAAAGCGCGCCAUUCUACCUCAGUCACCGAGUAGCAGCAGAUCACGAAGGGGCGGGAAUUGUGUUUGAUUACUGAGAGGUUGAUUGGAGGUCCCAGAGUGUCCACUAGAUGGUGAAAGAUCCUUUAGGAAUGCAAGAUGGGAACCGUGAAAAUGAAUGGCAGAUCAAGUCAGUCCAUGAAGGGAGAUACCUUCCUCAAAAUGCAUGAAACAAAUGUCCUUUAUGGUUCAAGUCAAGGUAGGUGUAGGACGUAUUUCCUUCUCUGCAAUCCAAAUAUAGAUAUGAUGUACUAUUAAAUACAGUUUUGUGAAGAACCUUGAUAGUCAUCCGUUUC